rnacentral:rRNA from 1 species
ACCCCACUGCUAUCGGGAUAGGACUAAGACAUGCUAGUCGUGCGCUUCCUAGCCAAUUUGGGAGCGCGGCACACAGCUCAGUAACACGUGGCUAACCUGCCCUUGGGACCAGAAUACCCCCGGGAAACUGGGGCUAAUUCUCGAUAGGUGAAGAACUCUGGAAUGAGUCUUCGCUUAAAAGAGGCUGGGGUUAUGCUCUCCAGUUUCGCCCAAGGAUGGGGCCGCGACCGAUCAGGUUGUUGGUGAGGUAAUGGCUCACCAAGCCUUUUACCGGUGCGGGCCGUGAGAGCGGGAGCCCGGAGAUGGGCACUGAGACAAGGGCCCAGGCCCUACGGGGCGCGGCAGUCGCGAAAACUUUGCAAUAAGCGAAAGCUUGACAGGGCUAUCCCGAGUGCCAUCCGCUGAGGAAGGCUUUUACCCAGUCUAGAACGCUGGGGGAAUAAGGAGAGGGCAAGUCUGGUGUCAGCCGCCGCGGUAAUACCAGCUCUCCGAGUGGUGUGGAUGUUUAUUGGGCCUAAAGCAUCCGUAGCUGGCUAAGUUAGUCCCUUGUUAAAUCCACCGAAUUAAUCGUUGGAUUGCGGGGGAUACUGCUCGGCUAGGGGACGAGAGAGGCAGACGGUAUUCCCGGGGUAGGGGUGAAAUCCUAUAAUCCCGAGAAGACCACCAGUGGCGAAGGCUGUCUGCUAGAACGCGCCCGACGGUGAGGGAUGAAAGCUGGGGGAGCGAACCGGAUUAGAUACCCGGGUAGUCCCAGCUGUAAACGAUGCAGACUAGGUGUUUGGACGGCCACGUGCCGUUCUAGUGCCGCAGGGAAGCUGUUAAGUCUGCCGCCUGGGGAGUACGAUCGCAAGGUUGAAACUUAAAGGAAU